AAUAAUAAUAUAGUAGUCUACAUCAGUGGUUACAUUGUAUGCAGCCAAACUAUGUAGAGGGCAGUAGAACAGAAAACAAUUUCCAUUGUGUAUAUAUGCAAUAACUCAUAUAUUGAAGCGUAAAACCACGGCAGUCAGGCUCGUUUAGGUGGAAAAAUUACUGUGUCAAUUUCAUAUUCUUAUAUAUUGUAAAUAUGUCAUAAAAGCAAAAACACACGAAAAAAAUGGCCACAGUUUAUAAUAAC
rnacentral:lncRNA from 1 species